GACGAACGCUGGCGGCGCGCCUAACACAUGCAAGUCGAGCGGAGAUACUUGAAGGAAGUUUUCGGAUGGAAUUUGAGUAUUUUAGCGGCGGACGGGUGAGUAACGCGUGAGUGACCUGCCUUCCACAGGGGGAUAACGUACCGAAAGGUACACUAAUACCGCAUGAGACCACAGCACUGCCUGGUGCAGGGGUCAAGGGAGCAAUCCGGUGGAAGAUGGACUCGCGUCCGAUUAGAUAGUUGGUGGGGUAACGGCCUACCAAGUCAGCGAUCGGUAGCCGACCUGAGAGGGUGAUCGGCCACAUUGGAACUGAGAGACGGUCCAAACUCCUACGGGAGGCAGCAGUGGGGAAUAUUGGGCAAUGGGGGAAACCCUGACCCAGCGACGCCGCGUGAGGGAAGAAGGUUUUCGGAUUGUAAACCUCUGUUCUUGGUGAAGAGGGAAAGACGGUAGCCAAGGAGGAAGCCCCGGCUAACUACGUGCCAGCCGCCGCUGUAACAC
rnacentral:rRNA from 1 species